UNUGACUUGAGUGCAGAAGGGGAGAGUGGAAUUCCAUGUGUAGCGGUGAAAUGCGUAGAUAUAUGGAGGAACACCAGUGGCGAAAGCGGCUCUCUGNUCUGUCACUGACGCUGAGGCUCGAAAGCGUGGGUAGCGAACAGGAUUAGAUACCCUGGUAGUNCACGCCGUAAACGAUGAGUGCUAGGUGUUAGGCCCNUUCCGGGGCUUAGUGCCGGAGCUAACGCAAUAAGCACUCCGCCUGGGGAGUACGACCGCAAGGUUGAAACUCAAAGGAAUUGACGGGGGCCCGCACAAGCGGUGGAGCAUGUGGUUUAAUUCGAAGCAACGCGAAGAACCUUACCAGGUCUUGACAUCCCGAUGCUAUUCUUAGAGAUAGGAAGUUACUUCGGUACAUCGGAGACAGGUGGUGCAUGGUUGUCGUCAGCUCGUGUCGUGAGAUGUUGGGUUAAGUCCCGCAACGAGCGCAACCCUUAUUGUUAGUUGCCAUCAUUAAGUUGGGCACUCUAGCGAGACUGCCGGUAAUAAACCGGAGGAAGGUGGGGAUGACGUCAAAUCAUCAUGCCCCUUAUGACCUGGGCUACACACGUGCUACAAUGGUCGGUACAACGAGUUGCGAGCCGGUGACGGCAAGCUAAUCUCUGAAAGCCGAUCUCAGUUCGGAUUGGAGGCUGCAACUCGCCUCCAUGAAGUCGGAAUCGCUAGUAAUCGCGGAUCAGCACGCCGCGGUGAAUACGUUCCCGGGCCUUGUACACACCGCCCGUCACACCACGAGAGUUUGUAACACCCGAAGUCGGUGAGGUAACCUUCU
rnacentral:rRNA from 1 species